rnacentral:sRNA from 1 species
CUUUAAAAAUCUGGAUCAAGCUGAAAAUUGAAACGACACACAGCUCAUGUGUGUUCGAGUCUCUCAAAUUUUCGCAACCAUGAAGUGAAACAUCUUCGG